rnacentral:misc_RNA from 1 species
AAGUCGUAACAAGGUCUCCGUAGGUGAACCUGCGGAGGGAUCAUUAACACGUUUCUAUACGUAUUAAAUAAUACAAACAAAAAUCAAUGUUGAACCUCUAUAGUAUAGAACACAAUUGUAAUAGUUCAUUCUAUUGCUCUUUUGACUAUAUUAUUACCCACCAUUCUCACCAUUUCGUAUAAACAACUUGACUAACAUAAGAACAAUUGAAUUGAUUUAUUUCAAUUUAAUCCAUUCUUGAUAUUCAACUAACAGCACAACUCUUAGCAACGGAUAUCUUGGUUCUC